UCUCCUGGAAACGGGUGGUAAUGCCGGAUGCUCCAUCAUACCGCAUGGUGUGUUGGGAAAGCCUUUGCGGCAUGGGAUGGGGUCGCGUCCUAUCAGCUUGAUGGCGGGGUAACGGCCCACCAUGGCUUCGACGGGUAGCCGGCCUGAGAGGGCGACCGGCCACAUUGGGACUGAGAUACGGCCCAGACUCCUACGGGAGGCAGCAGUGGGGAAUAUUGCACAAUGGGCGCAAGCCUGAUGCAGCGACGCCGCGUGAGGGAUGGAGGCCUUCGGGUUGUAAACCUCUUUUGUUAGGGAGCAAGGCAUUUUGUGUUGAGUGUACCUUUCGAAUAAGCACCGGCUAACUACGUGCCAGCAGCCGCGGUAAUACGUAGGGUGCAAGCGUUAUCCGGAAUUAUUGGGCGUAAAGGGCUCGUAGGCGGUUCGUCGCGUCCGGUGUGAAAGUCCAUCGCUUAACGGUGGAUCCGCGCCGGGUACGGGCGGGCUUGAGUGCGGUAGGGGAGACUGGAAUUCCCGGUGUAACGGUGGAAUGUGUAGAUAUCGGGAAGAACACCA
rnacentral:rRNA from 1 species